rnacentral:lncRNA from 1 species
AUGACUGCUGAUAUAGCCUUCCAACGGCUAAAGGGAAAAUCAAUGACUCUACAAAGGCCUGAUGGAACCUGUAACUUUUUGGUGUGGAGGUGGCUGUACCUUGUAUCCACUGCUUCAGGGAAACUACUUAGAACUGGGGACAACAGCCCUCCAAAGGCAUAUACCAGGAGAGUAAUGUAUCAGCAGACCAUAUCAAAGCCUAGCACAAGGCUUUGGGCAGUGAAUGGAGCUCAUUAAACUCACUGUAACUGACAGCUGGAUAUUUCAGAGAGAAAAAGUCUGAAGAACCCCCUGGCAUUGACCAUGUUUUAUAGAUCUUUUGGACUGCAGAAAGACAAAUAAAAAACAUUCAGAGGAAGGUGUCA